GCCUUCUUUGUUCCUGGGCUCAGUGCACUCUGAGUGCGGGUUCGUGAUGACUAGUCUUCAGUCUCGACAACACCUGAAAUUAUGUCCUGAAAAUGCAUACAACAACAAGACAGAGAAAUUUGCUGAAAAAGCACCACAGCAAGAAACAACUAACACAUCCAAUCAUCAAAAAGAAGAAAGUGACCAUGCUAACUCCUUUACAACAGACAAUCCAGUCAGCCAUCCUGAACAACUUGUCUCUGCAGAUCCAGAAUUCUUCACACCACUGGAUAUAUUGAAUGAAAGAAUGAGUGGUGCAGAGAACCCAUAAAUCAUGAAAUCCGAGAAGUUGGACACAAUGAAUACAGUGUUCUAUGAAGAUAAAUAUUAAUAAUAAAAUUGUUAAAAUUGAACACUUUCUCAAUGCAACCUGAGAAAUAGGGUUAGUUAUGGAAGAGAUACUCUGGUGUACCUAUUUUUAUUCAAUUGGUGAAAAAGCAGAUACAACCAAAGGCAAAACACUUAGAGUAGAAAAAGAACUGCAACAUCACUCAACCAUUCCUUGCUAACAAGCAGAGAGUACCAGUGUUUUUCAGUUUAAAGAAGUGGAAAGUUUUAACAGUAGAAUGAUAAAAUUGUAAUAAUAUAAAUUAUUUUUCAAAUACAUUAACAAAACUAAGGAUUUUCUGAAGUUUUUGAUAAAGUUCAAUCUCAAAGUAGAUUACUUGUUGAGUAUUAUGGCACUACAGGAUAGAAUUUUAGAGAACAGAGUAGAAAGCAGAAAAAGAGCAUUCCUGAAGAAAUCGGGAAAUAGAAUAGCCAUAUUCAUUAAGACUUAUUACCACUUUUUUCAUUGGAAGACAUCAGAGCUUUUAAUAAAACCAUCUAAUAUAUCUUGGUGAAUUCACAAGUUUCUGCAAAGAUGGUACUUUUUUAAAAAAUUAAGAGGUCUUCACAAUUUGGUUUCAUUUUGGUGAAUUUGUAUGCCCUAAAAUUCUUGUUCCUUCUCGUUUGUGAGUAAGCAUAUCUGAAUUUGGUCAAAUCCAGUUAAAUAAUUAAAAUAUGCAUAAAAAGAGUAAAAACACAUAUAGGAUAACUGGCAAGACAGUAGUUAAUUCUUUCCCCUCACAAAUAAAGAAUUCAAUUUAUAUUAUUUACAGUUAGAGAUACAAAUUUCCCUUGAAAUUGUUUUUUUUUUUUUUAAAGGUAAGAGCUCUCGUUUUUCUGGGGCAUGAGUGUAACAAGCUCCUGGUCUUGUACGAUAGCUGCCUUUUUCUGAGACCCCUUGUAAUUCAGUCUUGAAGUGGAGAAGACAGAUUUGCAAAGGAACUUAAUUCUUUUUUGGGACAGGCAGGGCUAAUACAAUGUAUAUUUUAAUAUUUUUCAGUUUUCUGUAUAUUAUGAUGUUUGGGCAUCUUAGCCCAGCCUAGAGCAUGCCUUUGGUUUGCAAACUAACCAACCCAGAACCACACUUUCUCUACCAGCCCAUGCACCGCACGAGACAGUAUUUCUCAGCCUCAACCAUUCCAGGACCAGGUUCUAGGCAACUGGGAACCACUCCCAUAGCUCAAAACUCACUGAAAUUAUUCAAACUAGUCAAUUCUAAACUGGUUCAUCCUGCGCUGUCUUGACUUUCCCUUGGAAACCCCAAUAAAGACAGUGACCUAAACCUUCCCCUUACUCCUGUCUCCUUCUUAACCAUCCUGCUGUCUUUUCAUGUGGACCUGUGUGGUAGGG
rnacentral:lncRNA from 1 species